CGCCCAACAGCUAGCCCACAAACACAACAACAACCAACCAUUAUUUAUAACCCCAAAUGCACUAAUAUUUUAAUUAAACAAACCAUUUUUCCCCUUUAGUAUGGGCGACAGAAAAAGGACUUAGGAGCAAUAGAGAAAGUACCGCAAGGGAUCGCUGAAAGAGAAAUGAAAUAAUCCAGUGAAGCUAAGUAAAGCAGAGAUUUAUUCUCGUACCUUUUGCAUCAUGAUUUAGCCAGCGUGACCCAAGCAAAGAGUGCUUUAGUUUGACACCCCGAAACUAGGGGAGCUACUCCAAGACAGCCUAUUUAUAGGGCGAACCCGUCUCUGUGGCAAAAGAGUGGAAUGAUCUUUGAGUAGAGGUGAUAAACCUACCGAACCUAGUUAUAGCUGGUUGCCCGAGAAAUGGAUAGAAGUUCAGCCCCUCAGAUUCUUUAUUCACCUCAGUAUUACCCCACCUGAUAACACAAGAAACUGUGAGAGUUAUUCAAAGGGGGUACAGCCCCUUUGAAACAAGAUACAACUUUUCCGGGAGGAAAAAGAUCAUA
rnacentral:rRNA from 1 species